CAAACGCAUGGCACAGCGAAAUUUCCUUCAAUAUGCGAUGAUGGUAGGUAGUAGAUACAUAGUUGGAUUGGAUAUUCUCUUUUGUACCUUUGGAUUUUUCAUUUUGACCCCACUCCAACACCUUCACAGCACUCCAAUGCUGUAAGGCUAUUGCCUCCUUCGUUACCCGUCUGUUUGUUACUUAUUUGAUUGUAAAUUACCACAUGUUAGCUCAUUUUUGUGCUUUAAUUUUGAUUAUUAUUAUUAUUAUUAAUUAUUAACCUGGUAUGACUAUAUUUUCUUCCCUUUUAUUAUGAAUCAGGAUAUGAAAAAAAAAAAAUGAAACUCUUCCACGACUUUUGUGUAUAUUGAUAUAACGAAAAGUAGUUUCCGUCAAAUCGGCAACACAUGAAAAAAAAAAUAACAAACAGAAUGCUGUCAAAAUAUAAGUAAUGGAGGUGCAAAAGCUCACAUAAAAAAGAUAAUGGAGGACGAGGAAGAGCAAUGCUUGUAGAAGAGAAAGUGAGAAGAUGCUUGAAGAAGAUAUUAAGGUGAGACUGAGGGGGGAGGGGUGUGAGGGAAGGGAGAGGGAUAAAAUAAGAAUUUUAUGAAAAAAUCAAAAUAGGGAAGGGAAAAUAUGGGCCCAAAGAGUGAAGGGGAGUGAAUUUAGGAACUAUAUAGCAAUUUCCCAUAGCCAAUGACCAACCUUCGUUUUUCUAUUGAGCAUUUUUUAAUUAAUUAAUACCUUCCAUUUUUUGUUGGGCUAUAUAAGAAAUUCUUUUUUACCUGCCAAAAAUAUAUAAGCAUUUUUUUCCAGUAAGGUUGGGCUUAAAGCCUAUUACUAUAAGCUUGGACUUGAUCAUGAGUACAUACCCAGAACUUUUCUAUUCUGUCGGCCCAUCUCAAUUUGCUUUGCCCUGCGUUUGGAUAUGACAUUUGAAUUUUGUAAUGUAAUUUUAGAAGAGAUUUUAAUUGCUUCUGAAUCAAAUACCCUAUUUGGGUACUCAAACACAGAAUUUGAAAAAAAUUCAGCAUUUCAUCCAUUAUCAAAAUCAGAUAUUUGAAAAUCCAUUGAAAUAGGUGGAAUUUGUAAAAUUCUUGAUUUGUCAACGGAAGAGAAAUGCAUCUCAUUCUCCAUCGUUCAUUUGUCACUUACUUUUCUCCGGUGAACCUUCCUUGUUAGAGUCGAGACCUGCCAUCAAUUGUUGGGCUCUCCUCCAUGGGGUUUGAAUCGCCGACAGAGAGUUGAACCAAGCCACUGACAAAGAGAGAAGAUUACCCGUAAACUUCGCUUUAUCAUCUUCCUGAGAUUAAACAUCAUCACUAACUAGAAAUCACCAUGGAGGAGGAACCUUUUGAUGGUGUUUUACUGUCCUCGAUGGAGUUUCUCAAGAUACAGUGGUGCAACGUUGCUACUGCUGUAAUGCUCAGGGUUUGAAUGUGAUGGUUGUAGAGAGCAAAAGUGAUG
rnacentral:lncRNA from 1 species